rfam:Aedes albopictus isolate Foshan contig304, whole genome shotgun sequence.
UGCCCAGCAACUCCUAUCCCUACCUCCUCGUGGUACCGGCCGGAAACUAUGAGCAACCUUAGGGAAGAUCGGGUAACCAACCCCGGUGGGAACUUUGGUCGUAGGCUGACAGGGAAGG